UCAGGUCUCCAAGGUGAACAGCCUCUGGCCAAUGGAAUAAUGUAGGCAAUGGAAGUCGGCAAAACAGAUCCGUAACUUCGUGAAAAGGAUUGGCUCUGAGGACUGGGCUCGGGGGUCCCGGCCCCGAACCCGUUGGCUGUCGGCGGAUUGCUCGAGCUGCUCACGCGGCGAGAGCGGGUCGCCGCGUGCAGGCCGGGGGAUGGACCGGGAAUCGCCCCUUCGGGGGCUUUUCCCGAGCAU
rnacentral:rRNA from 1 species